GACGAACGCUGGCGGCGUGCUUAACACAUGCGAGUCGAACGGAAAGGCCCCCACCUUGGUGGGGGUGCUCGAGUGGCGAACGGGUGAGUAACACGUGGGUGAUCUGCCCUGUACUUCGGGAUAAGCUUGGGAAACUGGGUCUAAUACCGGAUAGGACCAUGGUUUAGUGUCUCAUGGUGGAAAAAUUAUUGUUUUGGUGCAGGAUGAGCUCGCGGCCUAUCAGCUUGUUGGUGGGGUAAUGGCCUACCAAGGCGUCGACGGGUAGCCGGCCUGAGAGGGUGGACGGCCACAUUGGGACUGAGAUACGGCCCAGACUCCUACGGGAGGCAGCAGUGGGGAAUAUUGCACAAUGGGCGCAAGCCUGAUGCAGCGACGCCGCGUGGGGGAUGACGGCCUUCGGGUUGUAAACUCCUUUCGUUAGGGACGAAGCCACACCUUUUUUGGGUGUGGUGACGGUACCUUUGUUAAGAAGCACCGGCUAACUACGUG
rnacentral:rRNA from 1 species